rnacentral:rRNA from 1 species
CCUACGGGAGGCAGCAGUAAGGAAUAUUGGUCAAUGGACGCAAGUCUGAACCAGCCAUGCCGCGUGAAGGAUUAAGGUCCUCUGGAUUGUAAACUUCUUUUAUUUGGGACGAAAAAGGGCCUUUCUAGGUCAACUGACGGUACCAGAUGAAUAAGCACCGGCUAACUCCGUGCCAGCAGCCGCGGUAAUACGGAGGGUGCAAGCGUUAUCCGGAUUCACUGGGUUUAAAGGGUGCGUAGGCGGGUAGGUAAGUCAGUGGUGAAAUCCUAGAGCUUAACUCUAGAACUGCCAUUGAUACUAUCUAUCUUGAAUAUUGUGGAGGUAAGCGGAAUAUGUCAUGUAGCGGUGAAAUGCUUAGAUAUGACAUAGAACACCUAUUGCGAAGGCAGCUUACUACGCAUAUAUUGACGCUGAGGCACGAAAGCGUGGGGAUCAAACAGGAUUAGAUACCCUGGUAGUCCACGCCCUAAACUAUGAUUACUCGACAUUUGAGAUACACAUUAAGUGUNUGAGNGAAGANAUAAGUAAUACACCNCGGUAAGGUACGUCCGCGAGAAGUUAGAAAGUAACAANAGAAGUUAGUUACGGCGUUGAGACGUUAGCCGAACGGACGACCGACCGAGGGGAGGAGGGAGG